ensembl:lncRNA novel transcript, antisense to HEXIM2
AUGCUGAGGAAUGCAGCUGGGAGGCUGCCAGCAAAUGCCAAGGGGCCUCUGGGUCCCAGGCUAGCACCCCACAGCACCCCACAGGGGCAGGCAGGCCUCCAGAGGCUCUCCUGGAAUCCAAAAAGCCACUUCCUCGCUAAGCCUCCGGUUUCCCGUCUGCAAAGUGGCGAUGAUCAUUCCUGCUGCCCUUCCUGACUGAGCUGUCUGAGGACCCAGGGUUCCAGGGGCAGGUCUCCCAGGAUGAGAUUUUGCUUUCUCUUGAAACCCAUGCGUUCCUAGAAUCUGUUCUGUGUUUCAUUGUAGGAGGCUCUGGCCAGGCCUGGGUGUGGCAGGAUAGAAAUGAAAGUUGUCCUGGCAACACACAAGAUUUCAUCAACAUUUCCAUCCCCAGCAGCUCCUGGGCCAAGCCUCAUCUUGCCCAGUGUGGCCUGUCAAGAUGACGGCCUGGAAGAGAAGCCAGACUGGGCAGCCAGGCCUCUGCCCCUCCCCUUGCCUGGUGGCACAGCCAGCACUGGCUCACUGGGAAAGCUCACAACUCCUCACAGCGAUCUGGUAUCUUGAGCGUCAGUUUCUGGCCGAAACUGGGGGCUCCUGACUGAACUCCCUCCCACCUAGAAAACCUUCUGUGCAGUCUGAUUGCUCCAACACCCACAGAGCAGGAUUCAGGUAUCCCGGAGACCUUGGGAGGUCCCCAUCCAGAGGUCUGCUGUCCUGCCAGGCUUGGGGCAGCAGGGACUGGGACCCCACUCAGACCUCUCUGGGGCAAAUGUUUUGGUUCUCACAACAGCCCUAGUGAAAUCAAUCCUAGAUACUCCCAUUUGGUCCCACCAAGGCCAUUUAAUUUCUCUGUAAAGGGUAAGAUGACACAAAAGAGCCAACUAUGGAAACGGUGAGGUGGGAGUCUGAACCGAUUUAGCUGUUCUCAGGGCGCACAGGGUGUUGACGGUGGUUUUCAUCUGCCACCUGCCUCCUUGAGACCCAGCUGGCCUGAGUGUGCACGAAAUGGGACCUUCUCCUUGGGUCCACCAGGCUGGGAGGCACCCCUAGGUACCCGGCUCCUCAUCACAGCGGCAGCCCUCUCGGUUCCACAUCUGGUUCUCCUGACGAAGCCGCUGGUUUUCGGUCCGGAGCCUCUGGACCUCGGCAGCCAGCUCCUCCACCUGGCGGCAGGACUGCUGGCCGGUGCACGCCUGCAGCUGCUGCAGCCUCCUAGUCUCCUCCUCCGCCUGCGACAGCCGCUUCUCCAGCUCCAGGUAGUCUCGCACCAGCUCCUGCUUGCUGCGGCCCUGCAGGCUCUCGGUGUGGAAGCGUUCGUAAGUCUCAGAGAAGUCCUUCCGCUGGAACUCACCGUGCGCUCGGCCCCGCCCAUCACUGUCCCCGGCCUCACUCUCCCCACUGGAACCUGGGUGGGAGAUCCCAUGGGGCACAUCCAAGUUGGGCUCCUCCGGGUCCCUGUCAUUCAUCAGGAACUGGGUGGUGUUGUAGGGGGCCACGGGCUGGCCUUUGGCGAACAUCUCUUCGCGGACCCGGGAGGCCCUCUGGCUCUGCCUCUCAUCCCGCUGUUGUUUCUCAGCCCAGCUCAGCUCCAGGUAGGGUCGCCAGUGCCUUUUGCGCUUCGAUGGCCGCCGACGGUGUUUCUUCCGGGCCAGCACAGCCUCCGCUGAGCAGCCCCCUGGGCUCUGGGUCCGGGGACUCCUACUGUUCCAGCCCAGGCCACCGACAGCCCCAGCAAGAUCUUCAUCCUCUGAGUGGCUCUCCAUCCGCGGUGUCAGGGGCAGGGAACCACCAGAGUCAUGACGCUCAGGGGGUGUUUGGGGGCUCCCCGGGGCACCAGAGGUCUAAAGAGAGGGAGGAGGAAGAAGGAUGGAUCAGACAGCCUGUCCUUGGAGGUGGAACCUUUCCCUCUCUACCUAGCCUGAAGCCUACCUUCCUACACUCAGCUAACUUGGUCACUCUUAGCCCCUCAACCUUUUGGAACCAUUUGUUUACAAAGAGACCUGUCUACUGUCUGUCCCCCAACCUUCCCCAAGUAAACUCAUGGUGAGAGCAGGAA